GGUGAACGCUGGCGGCGUGCCUAACACAUGCAAGUCGAGCGGUGCAGUUUGAAGCUUCGGUGGAUAGCUGCAUAGCGGCGGACGGGUGAGGAAAACGUAGGAACGUGCCCCUUGGAGUUGGAUAGCCACGGGAAACUGUGGGUAAACCGACAUAGACUCGAGAGAGUAAAGGCCGAAAGGCGCCAAGGGAGCGGCCUGCGGCCCAUCAGGUAGUUGGUAGUGUAAAGGACUACCAAGCCGACGACGGGUAGCCGGUCUGAGAGGAUGGCCGGCCACAAGGGCACUGAGAGACGGGCCCUACUCCUACGGGAGGCAGCAGUGGGGGAUUUUGGACAAUGGGCGAAAGCCUGAUCCAGCGACGCCGCGUGGAGGACGAAGCCCUUCGGGGUGUAAACUCCUUUUCUCAGGGAAAAAAGAUGAUGGUACCUGAGGAAUAAGCCCCGGCUAACUACGUG
rnacentral:rRNA from 1 species